UUACCGAUCUGGCCUUUCGGCUUAGAUCAAGUGUAGUAUCUGUUCUUAUUAGUCAAACCUUUAACCACUAACACGGUCGCACAGCGAUCGUUUGUGGUUAGGUAAUUUUUGCCGCCCUGCUGAUGACCUUCCUGCUACACUCGCUGGGUUGUGUUGUCGGGGGAUC
rnacentral:snRNA from 1 species